rnacentral:rRNA from 1 species
UACGGGGGGAGCAAGCGUUGUUCGGAUUUACUGGGCGUAAAGGGCGCGUAGGCGGCCACUGCAAGUCAGUUGUGAAAUCUCCGGGCUUAACCUGGGAACUGCGCUUGUUACUGGCAAGCUUGAGUGUGGCAGAGGGGGGUGGAAUUCCACGUGUAGCAGUGAAAUGCGUAGAGAUGUGGAGGAACACCGAUGGCGAAGGCAGCCCCCUGGGCUAACACUGACGCUCAUGCACGAAAGCGUGGGGAGCAAACAGG